rnacentral:lncRNA from 1 species
CUUGGCAGCCUCCACAACUUGGAGUUAUUUAGUUUGUAAUUUGUUUGUAUUUGAAAACAAUUAUUGAGUGUCUUUCUCACAUAAAAAUUGAAAAAAUAAAAAAAUCAAAGCUGGAUAAAUGAUGAGAUCUAAAAUAAAGUCAAAAGGGAAAUGGUUUUUAACAAAUAGUUUAAUUUCAUUUUUUAUCACAUCUUGAAUCUUUCUUUUAAUAUUAAGUUAGGCAGAUCCAGUAAAAUUUAUUUUAAUGAUGAUUUUGGAAACAACUUUGGUGGAUAUUUUAUUCGGUGCCCAAACUUUAUUUUAAUAUCUGCCUAACUUAAUUAGAUCUAAUGUCUUGUUUAAUUAAUAGGAAACUGAACUUUUAGAUGAUUUAUAAUUUAUCUGAUAGAAAUAUUCUAAAAGUUUAUAAAUUUUGAAAUUUUGUUAGAGUUUGAUUCAUUUUGUUCAUUUGAAAACCAUCUUAUUUUUAUUUAUUAAGUAUUUGAUUUUCUUUUAAUUUUUGAAAAUUAAAGUUAAUAAACCCUCUUUUAAUUUUUUCUUUUUUUCUCUUUUUGAAACAUAGUUAGUGUACACCUAAUUUACUACUUUUAUAUAUAACAGAUUUACUUUCUAUUCAUAUUUUCAAAAGUUAAACUAAAGUAUAAAUCUAUCAUUAGAAAACUUGAAAACCAUAGAUUGAAAGAUUGGUUAAAAACCUAAAAGUUUUAGUUUCAUUUAAAUAACAUACAUCAACUUGAACUUGAAAAAUAAAUGUUGUAAGUUCGAAUAUUUCUUUCAAAACAAAUAUAUAUGGGUAAUAGUUGCUAAGAAGUCUAACCAUAAAUCUUGAGAUACAAUUGAUAAUAUUUGAAAUGUACACAUUUGAGAGUUAUGCUCACAUUAAUACGAAAAAACCUAUUAUUGCAAAGUUCCAAAUAUUUUUAUAUAUAUCAUUUUCGAUAACUUCAUAUUUUUAAACAAUAUUUGUUUGCUAUUUCAUCUUAAUGGCUAUUUUCGAAGGUGAUGUUUAGAGAAUUUCAUCUCACUACUUCCACUUUUUAAAUAACUAAAAGAAGAUUGAAUAUACAAAAUUAAAUUAAUAUAAGUGGGAGAAGAAGUAAUUAAAACUUCAAACCCAGUUGUGUGAGCAAUGAUCCAUCUCAUAAUGAUCUCACACUAAAUUUAAUUAUAUUUGUAUCUACCUCAUAUUAAUUAAUAAUAUUAUCGCCUUUAUAAAAAAGAAAAAGAAUAUAUUACAUUUAUUGGCCAAUUUGACCCUGAGUCACCAUUGGACCUAAUUUUGGAUAAGAGAUUGAACAAGUAGUAAACAAUAAAUUUGACAGCUAUUUUCAAACAAUACAAUUUUGGUAGCAAAGAUAAUACCAAUUCUUACAUUAACAUAUAUUCAUUUUUAAAUAUUUACGGCUAUAUAUUAUCAUUCACUAAUAAAUUUUUUACUAUAUUUUAAAAUAUUCUUAACCAUUUUUUCAUUUAAUACAAUUUUUAUAUAGAAUUAUUGCUUCUAAAAAAAUAAUAUAGUACAUGUCCUCAAGAAUCAAAUAUAUGGUGACCAAACAUGUCAAUUUUUUAAAAUAUUAAAUGUGAUACACAUUUGACAAAUUCAUUAAUUAACAACUCCUUUUAUCAUUAUUUUUUUUCAACUUUCUACGCUAUUAUCUUUUUUUUUUAUUGGUUUUAUUUUUUAAUAAAUUAACUAUUGCUCAUUAUAUAUUAUAACUUAAGGGCCAAAAUGUCAUACGUUCAUAUUGAGGGUCAGAAAACAAUUUGGAUUUCAUUGACUAACAGGUUCCUGUGAUAUAUAUUAAUUAAUUGAGAGUUAAUCACAACAAUAUCGUAUGCAUAUUAUUUUUUUUAUCUUCCAUAUUCCAAUCCGAUCAAGAAGUUUAAUUGUUAGUGCACAUUCCAAUCUUCAUUUCUUCAUUUAAAUUUUCCUUUUAAAAGAUUUUUUUCUCUUUUGGUUUGUGUCUUUUUAAUUUUGUGAGUUGUGAUAUGAUUGCUUUUUCAUGCAUUUCUCUGUCUUCAUAUAUGUUUUAUAUUAAAUUACAUACCUUUAUUUAUAUAUUUUGAAUGUUAUAUAUAUCUCUAAUCUCUAAAUUUUUCAAAAUUUUUCAAUUAAGUUUUUCAAUUUGGAUAAUACUAGACUAACAAUUUAUUUUUCAAUCUUCCUGCAAUUUAAUAGAUUAAAAUUAUAUUAUAUUUUUCCACAAAAUUUAAAGAAUUCAUUUUUAAAUGUAAUAUUAUAAUUAUAAACUAAAAUAUCUACUAAUAUAGUAAAAUUUAUCACGAUAUAUUUAAUUUUUUUAGCAAUUUUCGUUUAAAACAAAUUUAUAAAGUUUGGCAUUUUCGCCCUCCACUUUUAAAAUGAAGUUGAUAGCUAAGUAGAGAGAUGAAAAAAAAAAAAAGCGUAGGCGAAUAAUAGUUUGAUUAAAUUAAACCAAAUAGCAUUGUUUUUGGUUUUUUAAAAGCGGAAAUCCGUCCAACUAGGCGCCAAGUCACAGGUUUGACCGAAACAUCCGAGAAUGGAUAGAUAAACCAAUUGUGCAUUAAUAUUCCUCCCAAAGAACACUUGUGUUCAUGUACAUGUAUCCAUCCAUGUGUCGUUUAUCUCUCUAUCGCACAUAAAUCAGAUUAAAAUGUUCAUUUUAUUUUAAUUUUUAUGGACAGAUGGAGAUUAUAUAAACAGGUGUAUCUUAUAAUACUUAUUCAUUUUAGAUAUGAAAAAGUGUGAUAGUAAAUAAAUCAAUAAGUUCAAACAAAUGAAUAAAUAAGCUUAUUCAUUUGUAGUUUGUACUGCUUUUAUCACGAUAAUAUUAUUAUUUUGAUAUUUAUAUUUGUAGUUUCAUCGUCUUCGUUUUAUCAUUUCACAAUUUUUAAAAUAUCUACUAAAUAUAUUAUCUAUAUUUACUAGUUGAGUUAUUUGUGAAUUUAGAAUGUUCGUUUUCUAAGUGAAAAGUUGAAUUGAAUUCGAAAACCUAUAAAAAAAAUGUUAAAUAAAUUGAGUUAUCGUAAAUAUAUCGUUUAUUUGCUUUUACUAAUCUUUUAAAUAUUCGAUUGAAUUGUCUUACAUCUCACAUUGUGAUUUUUAAAAUUUAGAGCUUAGGCAUAUUGUGGGCAGUAUGUCCUAAACCCUAACUUUCCAUUUGACAAAAGUUAUAAUUAAACAAAGAAAAAUUGUUUUAAUAUAUUGCGUUUCUCAUACAUACAUCGAUUUAAAAAUAUAUUGUAAGUUCGUUUAUCAUACAACAAAUCGUAUUAUAUCUAGCUAACUCCGAUAAGAUAAGAUUGUUAUAGUUUCUAUUGUGUUUGAUUUCUAGCACACUGUUAUAGAAUCCUCCAAUAAUAUUGAACACAUAUGAAUGGCUAAAAAUGAUUUGAUUAGCUAACAACUUUUCCUAACCCAAACCCAACAUAUCUUUUACUUACGUAUCUGAACUAUUUCUCACCUACUCCCACUUUAAACAACUCACACCCAACACAAAAAUAUUCAAUGUCAAAAUACCAUAUGAUUCUUACGUGCAUACGUACACUCCCCACAAAAAUUUAAUUAAUUAAUCUAUUCUCUUAUAUAUAUAUAGUUGAUGGCUCAUAUGUAACCUUGAUUAUAGUUUAACUAGAAAAAAAUACAGAAACUCUAGAAAAAAAUGUUGGAAGUUUGAAAUUUCAUCUAUAUUUAUAGGCCUGGAUCAUAAUUUGGUUAGUAUCUUCACAUACAAUUUUCUUUUAUGAUCUAACCAUUAACCCUAACAAUUAUUGUUAGGUUAUGUAAUAAUAUUAUUUAAAUAACUGUUUUGAUCUUAAAUUGUAAGGAUGUAGAUAAUUUAGUUUCUAUACUUACCAAUUUGUAUAAAUUUAGUUUAAUCUUUAAUGUGUAGUAUUAUAACGAUCCUUUGUAGUUUAAAAGUGGUAAUGAUUUAAGUCCUAAACAAAGCUUCCUGCUUCUGUAACUAAAAUUGAGUGAAAAUCAAUUAAAUAUCAAUGAGUAUAUAGUUAAGUGAUUAAUAUCUAUAUUUCAUUUUGAUAAAAUAUUUCACCAUCAAAACUAAAAUACUAAUGUAUGACAUAUAAAAAAUAAAUGGUUACAAAUUUGCUAUUAAGAUGUAUACAUAAAGUGGACAAUAUCAUACUAUACACGGUAGAAAUAUUUAAAAAAUUUGUUGUCCUAAUACAACAUAUAUCAUUACAUCAUUGUCGUUUCAAUUAUGAAAGAAAAGUGUAUAAAAGUAUUGCUUACACAAUAAACUAUAUAUGACUUACACAAUCCAAAGGAAAGGAAAGAAAAAACAUGAAAUGCUUUUAAAAAUAGAUAUUUUCCAAUGAUACAAUUUUAAUUUUAAUUUGAGCAUAUUGUAGGUUUGAAUCUGUUCUCACUCUAAUGUUAUAACUUAUAGUCUAUCGAAAAAAAAAUUCAAAAAUUUGAAUAAAGCUAUUGAUCCAAGUAAAUUGAAUCAAGACUUGAUCAUAAAAAGCAACAUUCAUUCGCAAAUUAAUUUGCACACUGUAUGCUGAGACGUUCAUUCCACUUUCACCAUUGAGAUUUGAUUUUCGAAAAUUAAACUAAUAAUUUUUCGUUUUUUUUCUUUCAUUUUUAAUUUCUUUUUAUUUAAGAGUUUUGAUUUAUAAUAAUAAGUGGCUAAUAAAAUUACCCUCAUUAAUAUUAAUAUAUAGUCUAGAUCAUAUAUAUGUAUAUGAAUGUCACCUAAUCAGAUCAACUUGUCUAUCAACCUUAUUAAAUGUAAGUGUAGACUUAUUAGGAAGAAAAUUUCCAUUUUGUGAUGCCUCAAUUGGAAUUAAUUUUGACUAGGAUAAACUAUUAAAUUAUCUCCAAAAUUUUAUAUUACAUUAAUGAUAAACACCUAAUAGACAAUUUAUAUCCAUGUCUAUCAAUAUCAACUAUAAUGAUAUAUAAUUUUUUUUUAUAUUUUGUAAAUAUUUUGAUUUAUUUCGUUAUAUUUGAAAAUAUAUGUUAUCUUUUUCUUUCAAAAAUAUGGUUGAGGAUAUCACAAUCACAACAAAUAAAAAAUGUAUAUAUAAAUUUACGGUCAAAUUCUUACCUUGAUAACUCAUAUUUUGAUGGAAUCCAUAUAUAUUAAUUAACAACAUAACAUUUUAUUAAUUUCCUUGGGGAAAAAGAAUAGAAAAAGUAUUUGUGGGCACCAUUAUGUAAUUGGAGUUGAUAGGUAAAUUAAAUUGAGAAAGUAGGAAGAGGAAAUAAAAGUUGAGCUUAGAGUAGUUGGAAUGAAGCAAACAAAAAAAUCAGAGGUUUUUAAUGCAUAUAUUGGAAAAAUAGGUUUUAUUUUUCUAUUUGAUAUGAACAUAAAUAAUCAAUUCAAAUUAAAUUAAACAUUAAAUUAAAUCAUUUAUUGUAAUAGAUUAUUCCAAAAAGGAAGAACCAAUCUACCAUAAAGACAAAAAGAUUUAUAGUCUCUUAGGUUAACAUAAGAAAAAAAUAUUUUGUAAGAAACUUAUGUUUGUUUAAAUUUAUUUUUAAAAAUGCUUAAAAUAUAUUUAAAAAACUGUUUUUAGUAGCUUCCAAAUAAUAAUCUAAUUUUCUUCCAAAUAAUUUAUUUUUUAAAUUAAACAUUUGAAAGUUAGAAUGACUCCAACCUCAAUAAUUCACCUUUGGGUAUGUAAAUGAAUCUAGACCCUCUUAAAAUCUAAUUACAUUCUAUUUCUUUCAUUCACGAAUUUAUUUUAGAAAAAUAUAUCAAUUAUGUUUAAAAAUUUAUUAUAAAUAACAAAAAUAUUUAUAAAAUAUAAAUUUACAUUAUUUCUAUCCAUAUAACUUAUAAAUACUAAUAAUUUCCGGUAGAUUUGAGUUUUAUUAUAUUUUGUAAAAGAAAAAAAUUGUUCAUUUUGUUAUUUUAAAAAUGUUCCAUCAUAUUUCUUAGAUUAAAGUUAGAAUAUGUUACUAAGUUUUAAUUUGUAUUGAAAAGAUUAACAAUGUCUUAUAUUAGUAACUUUAAAUUUUGUUUAUAAUAUAUUAGUAAAUUCUUAAGAAACAUAAUAUAACGAAUUGUUUUGUAGCAUGAUUAAAAAGACUCAUUAUAUAUGUUUUAAAAUCCAAAAAACUAAAUUUGUAAUUUAUAGUCUAUAUUCAAGUUCUCAAAUUAUUAUUUAAAUAUUUCUAACACAAUUUAACAAAAAAAUAUAAUUUUGACACAUACAUGUUCAAGUGGUUAAUGCAUAGUAUAUGUAAGUUAUAAAUUGUGUAAACGAUAGCACGUAGAUUAAAUAGAAUAAGAUAUAGAUGCUUUUUACAUAUUCAGACUAAGAACUUAUUUGUCUGGUUGAAUUAUGGUCUCAUUCACGUAGUAUACAUUACAAAAGGAAAGGAAUUUGAGAAGAGAAGUGAUUCAAAAAGAAGAAAAAAGGAAAAUGAAAAGAACAAAAGAAAAAAGAAAAAGUAUAGAUAGGAAGUAUUUGAAUAGGAACCCAGUGGUCGCCCACAGAAAAACGUAGGAGUAAACGCCAAGGCCAUGCAAAUUGUGUAACAGUGAAAGCAACCCUACAAAAUGGACCAUCGCUCCCAUUCUCAAAGCUUAAAAAUUAGAUGAAGAAUAAGUCAAGCCGCCGGUCCCACUCCAUCAACCCCUCCUCCUAAUUCCAACACUAAUUCACCAAAUUAUAUUUUCAAUUUAAUUAUUUCUUUCUCUUUCUAGCUAAUUACUUUUUAUAUUACACCAAUUAUUAACAUCAUUUUGAGAUUUGAGUAACUUUAAUUAUAUAAAUUUAUUUACAUAUCUAACUAGUAACACUGUUGGUGUAUGUAAGAUUAAUUUAACUAUAUAUGUGUUUAUUAUCAGCUUAAGCAACCCUGAUGAACAAAAAUAUCUCACAUCUUUAAUGUCAGAUAUACACACAUAUAUGUAUAUAUUGAAAAGGUAAAAUCCUUGGUGGAAGGUUAUAUAAAAUUAGUCCAAACAUGAUGACAACACAUAAUAUUAUUUUAACUAUCUUGUCAUCUACCGACAAUAAUAUGUGUGCAUGUCUAUAUGAUUUCAUGGUUUUUAAUUAAAAAAAAAUUAGGUGGAGUAAUUAAAUUAGAUUUCACCGGUGAUCAUUAUGUUAAGACUUGAGAGGGGGGUUUGAGUGAGUGAAGUGGGUAAAAGGACAAAGCUAUAUAAAGGGAGGAAAGGCAGUGUUAAAAACCCACCAAUCCAUUCAAGGAUGGGAAAAAUGGGAUCUUCAAUGGCUCCUAUUCUUUUUGCUGCCUUUGUUGCUCUCCUUUCCCUAACUCUGCCGUCCACUACCAAUGCUAAUUAUAUCUACGCUUCUCCUCCUCCACCUAAGAAGGUAUAUUACCCGCCUCCAGUAUACCAUUCUCCUCCACCACCCAAGAAAUCAUACUAUCCACUCCAGUGUAUCACUCUCCACCACCACCCAAGAAGGUUUACUAUCCACCACCAGUUUACUCUCCACCACCACCAAAGAAGGUGUAUUACCCACCUCCUGUCUACAAGUCUCCUCCGCCACCCAAGAAGGUUUAUUACCCACCUCCCGUCUACAAGUCUCCUCCGCCACCUAAGAAGGUGUACCCACCUCCCGUCUACAAGUCUCCCCCGCCCCAAGAAGGUGUACUACCCACCUCCCGUCUACAAGUCUCCCCCACCUCCCAAGAAGGUGUACUACCCACCUCCGUCUACAAGUCUCCCCCACCUCCCAAGAAGGUAUACUACCUCCUCCCGUCUAUAAGUCUCCUCCACCACCAAAGAAGGUAUACUACCCACCUCCAGUCUACAAGUCUCCCCCACCUCCCAAGAAGGUAUACUAUCCACCACGUCUAUAAGUCUCCUCCACCACCAAAGAAAGUAUACUACCCACCACCAGUCUACUCACCACCACCGCCAAAGAAGGUAUACUACCCACCUCCCGUCUACUCACCACCACCACCGAAGAAGGUGUACUACCCACCUCCCGUCUACUCACCACCACCACCGAAGAAGGUGUACUACCCACCUCCCGUCUACUCACCACCACCACCGAAGAAGUAUACUACCCACCCCCGUCUACUCACCACCACCACCGAAGAAGGUAUACUACCCACCACCCGUCUACUCUCCACCACCACCGAAGAAGGUAUACUACCCACCACCCGUCUACUCUCCACCACCACCGAAGAAGGUAUACUACCACCACCCGUCUACUCUCCACCACCACCGAAGAAGGUAUACUACCCUCCUCCCGUCUACUCUCCACCACCACCAAAGAAAGUAUACUAUCCACCUCCCGUCUACUCUCCACCACCACCAGUAUACCACUCCCCCACCUCCGGUCUAUCAUUCUCCACCACCACCAGUAUACCAUUCCCCACCACCUCCCGUUUAUUACUACUCAUCGCCACCGCCACCUCCACACUACUAGGAAUUAAAUGUCCUAGGUCAAGGUAAUUUUAAAUCUCCCACCAAAUUGCGUUGUCUUUUCUCCACGUAUAUAACAGUAAACAUAACUAAUAAUAUAUGUUACUUUCAAAGGACAGAGAAAUGUGGAUGAAAAUGAAAACAAACAAAUAAUAAUUCUGUGGAUUUUUAACAUCAUAAAAAUUUGGUUGGCCGUCACUAAAAUUUGGACUACUGUUUAUGAUUUAUAUCCAAAAUUCAGUGGUAGGGACCCCAAUAGAUAGAGAAAAUUCAAAAAUAAAAAACAAAAACUUGGGUCCAAAUAAUUAAUUUUGGUUAAUUUGUUGUGUUGUGCAGGGAUCUGAAGAUGAGAAUAUAUAUAUGUGGAAGUCAAAAUAAGAG